AGUGAACGCUGGCGGUAGGCCUAACACAUGCAAGUCGAACGGCAGCACAGUAAGAGCUUGCUCUUACGGGUGGCGAGUGGCGGACGGGUGAGGAAUACAUCGGAAUCUACUUUUUCGUGGGGGAUAACGUAGGGAAACUUACGCUAAUACCGCACACGACCUACGGGUGAAAGCAGGGGAUCUUCGGACCUUGCGCGAUUGAAUGAGCCGAUGUCGGAUUAGCUAGUUGGCGGGGUAAAGGCCCACCAAGGCGACGAUCCGUAGCUGGUCUGAGAGGAUGAUCAGCCACACUGGAACUGAGACACAGUCCAGACUCCUACGGGAGGCAGCAGUGGGGAAUAUUGGACAAUGGGCGCAAGCCUGAUCCAGCCAUACCGCGUGGGUGAAGAAGGCCUUCGGGUUGUAAAGCCCUUUUGUUGGGAAAGAAAAGCAGCAGGUUAAUACCCCGCUGUUCUGACGGUACCCAAAGAAUAAGCACCGGCUAACUUCGUG
rnacentral:rRNA from 1 species